rnacentral:rRNA from 1 species
GAUGAACGCUGGCGGCGUGCCUAAUACAUGCAAGUCGAGCGAACGGACGAGAAGCUUGCUUCUCUGAUGCUAGCGGCGGACGGGUGAGUAACACGUGGAUAACCUACCUAUAAGACUGGGAUAACUUCGGGAAACCGGAGCUAAUACCGGAUGAUAUUUUGAACCGCAUGGUUCAAAAGUGAAAGACGGUCUUGCUGUCACUUAUAGAUGGAUCCGCGCUGCAUUAGCUAGUUGGUAAGGUAACGGCUUACCAAGGCAACGAUGCAUAGCCGACCUGAGAGGGGGGGCGGCCACAGUGGAACUGAGCAACGGGCGAGACUCAUACGGGAGGCAGCAGUCGGGAGUCGUAAGCAAUGGGUGAAAGCCUGACGGCGCAAUGCUGAGUGAGGAAGUAAGGUAUUAGAAUCGUAAAACUCUGUUAGUAGGCAAGAACAAAAGGGUACGUAACUCUGCGCGCCUGGAGGGGACCUAAUCAGAGAGCGAACACGAACUACGAC